rnacentral:rRNA from 1 species
UACGAGGGGUGCAAGCGUUGCUCGGAAUUAUUGGGCAUAAAGGGUAGGUAGGUGGUCUCAUUUGUCUGGGGUGAAAGCCUUGAGCUUAACUCAAGAAGUGCCCCGGAAACGGUGAGACUCGAGUCCUGGAGAGGGUCGUGGAAUUCCCGGUGUAGCGGUGAAAUGCGUAGAGAUCGGGAGGAACACCAGAGGCGAAGGCGGCGACCUGGACAGGCACUGACACUCAACUACGAAAGCGUGGGGAGCAAACAGG